ensembl:lncRNA
GUGGUAAUGAUGGUGGUAGUGAUGGUGUUAAUGAGUGAGUGAUGGUGUAAAUGAUGGUGGUAAUGAUGGUGGUAGUGAUGGUGGUAAUGAUGGUGGUAGUGAUGGUGUUAAUGAUGGUGUGGGUGAUGGUGGUAUGAUGGUGUUAUUGAUGGUGGUAAUGAGUGAUGGUGUGGGUGAUGGUGUAAAUGAUGGUGUAAUGAUGGGGUUAAUGAUGGUGGGUAGUGAUGGUGUUAAUGAGUGAGUGAUGGUGUGGGUGAUGUAUUAAUGAUGGUGGUAGUGAUGGUGUUAAUGAGUGAGUGAUGGUGUAAAUGAUGGUGGUAAUGAUGGUGUGAGUGAUGGUGUAAAUGAUGGUGUUAAUGAUGGUGGUAGUGAUGGUGUUAAUGAUGGUGGUAGUGAUGGUGUUAAUGAGUGAGUGGAUGGUGUUAAUGAUGGUGGUAGUGAUGGUGUUAAUGAUGGUGUGAUGGUGUUAAUGAUGGUGUGGGUGAUGGUGGUAAUGAUGGUGUGAGUGAUGGUGUAAAUGAUGGUGGUAAUGAUGGUGGUAGUGAUGGUGGUAAUGAUGGUGGUAGUGAUGGUGGUAGUGAUGGUGUAAAUGAUGGUGGUAAUGAUGGUGUGGGUGAUGGUGGUUAAUGAUGGUGGUAGUGAUGGUGGUAGUGAUGGUGGUAAUGAUGGUGGUAGUGAUGGUGGUAGUGAUGGUGUAAAUGAUGGUGGUAAUGAUGGUGGUAGUGAUGGUGGUAAUGAUGGUGGUAGUGAUGGUGUUAAUGAUGGUGUGGGUGAUGGUGGUAAUGAUGGUGGUAGUGAUGGUGGUAAUGAUGGUGGUAGUGAUGGUGUUAAUGAUGGUGUGGGUGAUGGUGGUAGUGAUGGUGGUAGUGAUGGUGGUAGUGAUGGUGGUAGUGAUGGUGGUAAUGAUGGUGGUAGUGAUGGUGUUAAUGAUGGUGUGGGUGAUGGUGGUAGUGAUGGUGGUAAUGAUGGUGGUAGUGAUGGUGGUAAUGAUGGUGGUAGUGAUGGUGGUAAUGAGUGAAUGAUGAUGACGUUGGAUUCGAUCGUAUCGUUACAGUUCUAUAUUUGAACCCAUGUGUUAAAUGAUGUAGUGGCAGAAAUGAGCCCGGGUUAUUCCACGAUACCGAGCGUCUGAACGCAGCCUCGCUCACAGUCAACAUCGUCUCAUUAAUCCCUGAUCGAAUGGAACUUCAGCAUGAAAUCGAACUCGCCGUCUCACACACACACUUCUGACUCAUCUUCCGACUCCAGGAUUAAACUCAUGGGCGUGCGUUAUUUUAAAGCGGUUCUGAACACGACGGAAAGUUCCGUCUCUGGACUAACGAGCAUGCGCUGCUAAUCUCCAUUAACACGAGCGUGAAGCGCGCGAGACGCUAACUCUGUCCUGUGACACAGAGCCAUGCUGAGGACAGGAGAUGCAUUAUGGGAGGUAAGGUCAACACACACAAGGCACUAAUACUCGGAGCGAUGGGAAAAAUACGCGGUGCGGGUUUCAGGAGGCUGAAGUGCACUCGGUGAAAGCAGAUCAGCUAAUUAAGCGUCCUAGAUGCACUUAGCAACCCUGCGUGGGUCUGAUUGACUCGGAUGAAGCCGCUCUCACACGCUGCCUCUCAGGACAUUGCAGGUAAUUAC